rnacentral:rRNA from 1 species
UACGGAGGGAGCUAGCGUUGUUCGGAAUUACUGGGCGUAAAGCGCGCGUAGGCGGCUUUGUAAGUUAGAGGUGAAAGCCCGGGGCUCAACCCCGGAAUUGCCUUUAAGACUGCAUCGCUAGAAUCCGGGAGAGGUGAGUGGAAUUCCGAGUGUAGAGGUGAAAUUCGUAGAUAUUCGGAAGAACACCAGUGGCGAAGGCGGCUCACUGGACCGGCACUGACGCUGAGGUGCGAAAGCGUGGGGAGCAAACAGG